AAAGGGGCUUCGGCUCCGAGUAAAGUGGCGCACGGGUGAGUAACACGUAGGUAACCUGCCUCUAAGAUUGGGAUAACUUGUCGAAAGAUGAGCUAAUACCAAAUAAGACCACGGUUUCCUCGGGGACAGGGGUCAAAGGUAGCCUCUAUUUAUAAGCUAUCGCUGAGAGAUGGGCCUGCGUACCAUUAGCUAGUUGGUGAGGUAACGGCUCACCAAGGCAAAGAUGGUUAGCUGGUCUGAGAGGAUGAUCAGCCACACUGGAACUGAGACACGGUCCAGACUCCUACGGGAGGCAGCAGUGGGGAAUAUUGCGCAAUGGGCGAAAGCCUGACGCAGCAACGCCGCGUGAGUGAUGAAGGCCUUCGGG
rnacentral:rRNA from 1 species